AUACGAAGGGUAGGGGUGAGGCGCGGGCCGCGUUGUACACGUUAACCAGAGGAAGAGGGAAAAGUAGAGUGGAAAGAGGGAGAGUGUAGGCUUGGUAAGAGACGAGCGAAGAUGGAGAAAGAGAGGGAAGACGGCGUGCCUCGCGGGUCGCCGGCUCUUCUUCANNNNNNNNGGUCCGAGCUUCGUCCGAAACGAAGCGCCUCCGUACCGUUCUCCUUCUUCUUCUCUUAUGAGAACGUGCCGUCGGGGACGACGCUUCGUCGAACCGUUCGUCGUUCGAUCGGUUCUCCACGUUUCACCUCUUCGUGCACCUCUUCUUAUCCCUCUUUCUUCAUCCAACUUUAUAGCCUCUAUAUUUUUCUCUAUCUUUCUUUUAAUCUUCUUUCCUAUUCUUCCUGUUCUUCUCCUCCCAGUUUUUUCUCGACUUCUUCCUCUUAAAUCUUCUUCUUUUUCUUCUUCUUCUUUUCGGUCUCGAUAGGUGUCACGGUGAAACGAACGUGGUGCACGCUCCGCGUGGUGGUGCUGGUGCUUGGUGUUGGUGGUGGUGGUGGUGGUGGUGGUGGUUCUUUUGGUGUUGUCGAUGGUGUCGGUGGUCGAUGGUGAUCGGUGAAUCGAGCGACCAGGGAGUCGUCUCACCCUUGGAAUCCUUUCGCUUUCUCUUGGUCGAGGAGGGGAGAUCGCGCGAAUCAUGGCCUCCUACAGGAGCUAUGGUGACAGUGGCGCCUACCGAUCAAGAGUCAACGUUGGAAUCGGCGCCGGUGGUUUCGGGAGGAAGCGGCCUUCCGAGUUGCAGGAACAGCUACUCGACCGUCGGUUCCGGUUCCACCCGAUUGCCUGCCAAGGAGAGGGUUUCCGGAUUCGGGAAUGCUUUCUUGAAGAAAGACAAGCACGAGGAGAAAUCUAGUUUUAAAUAUCCCAGUAAUAAAGACGCCGACAAAGGUAGACUUCACCCGAGUAGGUCGUCGACGGAGGACGUGGGGGCGAAAAGUCCAUUAUCGAGCAGCAGAUCCUCCCUGUUCGAGAAGUACUCGUUUCCAGCUACUAAAACUUCAGAGAGGCCCGCCUCCGUUUUGGACAGAUAUAACCGUGCCACUUCCCGCGAGAAGAGCAGAGAGCCCGACGUGGUAUCGCGAUACGGAUCCAACACGUAUCCCGGAUCGAGCUUGGCUCGAACUUAUGGAAACGAGAGCAGGAUCGAGAAGAAAGAGAGGGCCGAUCAUCCGCCGGUUUCGUACCGUGGAUUGCGGCCUAACUCGGGUAGAAAUUCUCGCGAGCCAAGCCCGGAAAUCAACGUUGGAAAAUCUAACUCGUUCAGAAUGUACGCGAGAGCCCCCUCCUACGGUCGAUCCAGUGCCACUUCUAGUGCCUCCGAAUCGAGCUCGGCGCCAAUCUCCUCGAGAUUCGGCUCGACAGCUGGUAGCAGGUUCUUUUCAUCGAGAAGCAACAACGACCGAGUUCCGGCAGCUAUAAGCUACUCCGGAUCGGACAGGUUCCGAACUUCAGGCAGUAAGCCUAUGCCGGCGAAUUUGAAGGACGAGGAAGCCGCGAAAGCCAAUCCAGCGAAAGAAACUGCGCAAGAGAUAUACGCGAAAUCGGAAGAAUCGAAACUCGAGAACAGACUGAAAGACAACGAGACCGUUACGAUGGUUACAAGGGGUACAUCACCGAGUCCUCCGGCUUCCUCGUCCUUCGUGAGGAGCAGAAGAGCCGACAUAGGUAUCGCGAAUCAGAAGGAAGUGAGUCGGGUUCGAAAGAAAAUGGAGACAAAGGAUCAAGAGGUUCAGAGCGAGAGAUCGGAGGAUGGUUCGAGGUUCUCUCGAUUUGGAGGUGGAGGGCGAAUCUCGGGGGCACCGUGGUCCUCGUAUCUCGACAAAUUCUCGUCGAAUUCGAGCGGAAGUGGCGUGUACGCGAGAGGAUUCAACGGAGGCAACGCGGCCAAUUCGAGGGUGAAUAGCUUCGCUUUCCCCAGAUCGAACGAUGCCUCGAGGAACGAUUCUUCUUCGAAGGUAUCGCCCAGCUCUAGUCAAGAAAUUCAUGGGAACAGAAAUCAGAACGAGCAGAAAGUGUUGGGCGGUUUGAGCUUCGCGAAAACGGAUUCGAAAACGAGCAACGAGCAAGGAAAUUCAAAUCAGAUGGAGAUUAAAGUGCAUAAUGGUGGCGAGAGUCGUGGGUGCACGACAGUUGGUAAGAGCGAAAGGAAAGGUUUGGCGAGCCCUUCGAUCUUGAAGAGAGAGGGUUCGCCGCAACAAGCCGGUGUUCUCGCCAAGUCACCGGAUUCUCGAGAAAGCGUUUCGAAAAGCGAGGAACAGCAAAGUAGCAGGGAAAGUUCGACGUCGAAGAGCGAGAACAAUAGCCAGAAGAGACCUUCGAUACCGAGAUUAGGUCGUAUCGCGGCGAAGAACGAAAGCAAGAUUGCGAAAUCGUCGUCGAAUUCGUCGAGCAAGUCGGAUGGACCGCGGGAAAGGAGGAGUUCGACGCCUAAAUCUGACGCUAGCUCAUUAUCGAAACUCGAUGACUCGUCUAGAAUAGUGGAGGGAGGACAUUGUCAAGAACCGAGUAAAGAAGCCUCUACGUCUAAAAGUGAUAGUGUUUCACCUGCGAAAGAUUCUCUUCAAAGCAGCAAUCCAUCGCAGAGCAGAUCGACGACACCGCAGUCGCGCAGCGGCUCGGCGAAAAAUGUGUCCCGCCAAACGACGAGAACCGACUCCUCGGAAGGAUCCGCUGUAAAUGUGCCAAUUGGCAGAUCGAAAUCGUCGUCGGCCAGUUCGGUGACGAGUCAGGGUGCAAAAAUAAAGGCGACGCCGCCGCCAUCGCCAGGGAAGUCGUCCGUGUCGAGCGUUUCCUCAGUGAAUCUGAGACAAGGCGGUUCGCCGGAUGCUCGUGGCAAACCACCUGUGCCUAAGAGCGACGUCGCGUCGGCGUCCGGGUCCAAGGGCAUCGUGCAGCCCAAGUACGUGAACAAAGACUUCCGGAAGUCGACGUUGAACAUGGAGAACGGGGACCCCUCGCAGUCCAAGUACAGCAGAAAGAAGAAGAACGAGCGUAGCAUGUCCGUCAGCUCUCAAGAUUCGCAAUCCGAACCGAACUCCGAAUCGAACAUCCAUCGACCGGCCGUUCCUUCGGAAUCCAGCUCAGCCUCUACAAACAAAUCGAACAGGUCGAGGCUGAGGGUACCGUCGUCUUCGCCCUCCAAGAGUAUAAUAAAUAGGAAAAGCGAGACGAGCAGCCUCGCUUCGAGCGUGGCCGAGAAAUCGAGGAGUGGCUCGAAAUCGCCGUCGAGGAAGAGGAGCAAGCAAGACGGGAGCUCGAGUUCGAGCGCGAACAGCGAGGAUUCCUCGAAUUCGUCGAGCAGCGAGGAGGAGGAGGAGGAGGAGGAGGAGGACGAUAAACAGUCGAGACCUGGAUCGAGGCCGCGCAAGAGGAGAACGUCCAAGUCCCCUUUCUGCGAGAAGAAAGGGAAGAUGAGCGCUGGAUCGUCGAGGACGAGCGUGUUNNNCUCGUCCACCGACGAGAUGUCGUUGACGACGGAUAAACCGCCGAGACCGCCGUCCAGCCCGAGAUCGAGGAGCGAUCGUUCGGGGAAAACCGAGGAGGCUAAGUCGUUUCUGAUGAGGGCCCUCGCCCCGGUCACGAAUCUUUUCAAGAAUAAGCACCAGGAUUCCAGCGAGUCGGGUAAAUCGGGCGGUUGGCUAGAUUCGAACGAGGAAAACGCGGACGUGAAAAGGUCGGAGCAGAACGGAGGGACGACAACGGCGUCUCUGUCGAGAAGUCUGUCGAAAAGUUUCAGUUUCACGAACUCGGAGAGGAACGAGGACAGGAGACAGUCGAGUCAAGCUAGGAUCAGACGAAAUUUUUCCGGGGAACAGCCUUGGUGGAUGGAUCCGAACUCCGAAAACGUUCCUGAAGGUGUCGAAACGGGAAGCGCGUGCAAUGACGAUAUUAGUCAAGAAACGACCGUCAGUAGUACCUUACCUGACGAUGGCAAAUUUAAAUACAAAGUGUGGAGACAAGAAUCGGAGGAACGAGCGUGGUGGUUAGACUCGAACGACAGCGGGGCAUCCGAGGACGCGAGGAAGCAGACGACGAUUUCGAGACAAGAAUCAGGGGAGAGGGGUUGGUGGUUAGAUUCGAACGAUAGCGCCCCCUCGGAGGAAACGAAGAGACAAUCGUCCUCGGCAGUUUCGAGGCAAGAUUCGGAGGACAGGACUCGUUGGUUGGACGGAAAUGACAGUGCUUUCUCGGAGGAGGUGAGAAAACCGUCGCGCACGGCGGUGUGGAGGCAAGAUUCGGAGGAAAGGGCGUGGUGGUUGAGCUCGAGCGACGCCGCGCCGUCGGACGAGUCGAAGAAACAAUCGUCGUCCGUGAUAUCCAUUUCGAAACGAGAGUCGAGCCGUUGCUCGAGCACUCGAUCGAACGAGCGAAGAAAUCGAUUGAGGCAUCAACAGUCUGGAGAGCAAGCGUGGUGGAUGACCGACAAUCCUGAGAACGUACCCGAAGGAGUCGAAGUCAUUCCUACCACCCCUACGUCGAACGGUAACGCUUGCAACGACGAGGUGGACGACAGCCAGCCGUACGGCAGAUGUACAAACAAGGUCAGGCACAUUGAGUCGGGUGAGAAACCAUGGUGGAUGGACAGCACGUCCAACGUUCCUGACGGUGUAGUCAAGAUUUCUGUGGAAACGUCGAACAGCACCUCGGACUCGUCCGAAUCGUUCGAGAGAAUCGAUAUCGGUGUUAACCCUGAACCUGAGAUAUAUAAGAGAAGCCUCUCUAGAUUCCCUAUCGAGUUUCCGCCACCUCCGGCUGACGAGCCACUCGGGGAUCGUGCCAGUCCCGAAGGGACAACCACUCACGACUUCCUUCCACCAUCUUCAAGUAUCCUCAACCCAUCUUCAAUUUCUCCUUAAAACAAAAGGACUAACUUAUAUCCAUCGUUUCGAGUGAAAUAAAAUCAAUUUAUCAACCGGGAUAAGUGGAAAAUCCUCCCGAUCCGCCGGACAAUUAUGGCGGACGUGACUCGCCUUACGACAACGUGCAACCAACAUCCAGAAGAUCAUCGCCGAAGAAACGCCCUUCCACGUUACCGUUGUUCAUCGGUCAGCACACCAA
rnacentral:misc_RNA from 1 species